UACAGAGGGGGCAAGCGUUAUUCGGAAUUAUUGGGCGUAAAGGGCACGUAGGCGGCUUGGCAAAUCGGUCGUGGAAUCCCGACGCUUACCGUCGGAACGGCGGCCGAAAUACCGAGCUCGAGGGCGUGAGGGGUCACUGGAACUCCUGGUGAAGCGGUGAAAUGCGUAGAUAUCAGGAGGAACGCCGGAGGCGAAAGCGAGUGACUGGCGCGUUCCUGACGCUGAGGUGCGAAAGCUAGGGGAGCAAACAGG
rnacentral:rRNA from 1 species